UGAAACCGUUCGGGGGUAAACGGACAGAGCCCGUGAAUCUGGACGGCGGAAUUCAGGAUAGACGGGCGCGCGCGCGCGCGUGUUGGUGUUUGCACGCCACCACCGUGUGUAGCGCGUUUUAGUCUGUUUGAUAUUUCCGUCGUCGUCGUCGUGUUGUGUUGUGUACAACAACAACAACGCGCACAGACGUUGCGACCUGUUCGACGUUGGUCCACGCUCGGAGGAGCCGUCACCGAGUUCGCCGCGGCGUCCGUUUCGGCGGCGUUUGCGACGAAGGUGCGCGGAUUAUAUAUUUUAUUAUAUAUAAUAUUCUGACCAACUUGUCUGGACGGUAAGUUGCACACACGGUAGCCGGCGUCGUUACGCUUUCGCGAGUACGCGGCGUCCGGUACUGGUCGGCAACGAUUUCAUCGGGCCU
rnacentral:rRNA from 1 species